GGACUCUUUCAAAGGACCACGCGAGAGCAUUGAUUUUGUCGAAGGUGGAGCUAAUGGUUGGAGAUGUGCUGUAGUCCAGGUCGAUAAGAGCUGCUUCUUCAUUCGUCAGUUGAAUAUCGUGCGCAAGUUGUUCUUUUGGCGGCGUGUUAGGAUUAAGGGCUUGGAGUGUUUUGUGGCUGAUUUUGCUUGGGUUUACUUUUCGCAGUUUUUGGUCUAUUGAUUUCAGUUCUGUAUACUCUACAUGGCAGGUAAUCUGUAUGUCCAAGUCUUUUAUUAAGUUUUUAAUGUGCGUCCUUUGGCUGGCUGUCAGUGUGGAUGUGCGGCGGAAAAGAACGCGUCUGAGUUUUCGCUUUCUUUUGAUUAGGUUUAGGCAGUAUUGGCUAAGUCGGACAAACGGAUUGUUGGGGUUAUUCGGGCUUAGGGUGAUUUUUGGAAUUGCUUCACUGGAAUUUAAAGCUCUGUCUAUUGCAUAUGUUAAUGUUUGGACGUGACCAUCUAUGUCAGCUGAGUUUAUGUUUUGGGUGUUUGGAAUUUGUCUCAGGUUCUGAAGGAUGAUUGUGUUCCAGUGGAUGGGGUUUAUUUUUUGGAAGUUAUGUAAGGACUUUGGUUGGUUGUAUGUUAGUCGGUUGUGUCCUAGAUUUAUGUUGAUUGUUAUGCCAAAGUGGUCUGAAGGGAAGUCUUUGAUGGUUUUGCAGCCGAAUGUAUAUGUGUGGUUGUCUAUUGGUAUUGAGGAUGAUGCUAUGAAGUAGUCUAUUGAGGAGUCUCCCGUCGGAUUUGGGCGUGUGGGUUCUUCGGUUGGGAGUAGGUUUACGAAGGGUUGGUUUGCUAGCCAUUCCUCCAGCUUAUUUCCUGACGAGUUGAUGUGAUUUGGAUGGUGAGAGGGUCUGUUCCAGUUUGGGUGUUUCGCAUUUAAGUCACAUCCGAUUAUGAGCUCGUGGUCCUCUAGUUUGGUCAGCGAGUGCAUAAGGAUGUCCAUGUCUGAGCCAAGUAAAGGAUGGGUAGGGCGCAGGUAAAGUGCAACGGCAACAAGCCCGAAUCUUGCGUUGUGUCUGUUGGUGUGAAAUAUCUGCACUGCCACAGCCUCGAUGUAUUGCAUUUGGUCAAUGUUCACUUGUUCGUAUUUUAGACCGUUUCUCACGCAGAUAGCUACUGAGGAUUUAGGGGUUCUUGAGUUGUUCAUCGAUGUUGAAACCAAGCUUGGCACCUGUUGUCUCACGAAUUGGUAGUUUCUGAGGCCGGGUGAAUGCGUACUUCUCAGAUUGUGCUCUGCUAGCAGCAUCAGAUCUGGUCUGUGUUUGUUUAGCAUCUCGUUAAGUUCGUUCCUCUUUCUGAGUUGAACGAUGCCAUUGACGUUUUGGAACAUUAUUUUUACUGGCAUUUUAGUUGAGUGCGAUUUGGAUCAGGAAGUCGAGGAUUAGCUGUUGCUUCCCUUUUUUGUCCGAGCUGGUGUUUGGGUACUUCUUGACCAAGGACUGCAUGAUGUCGAAGCAGGUAAGCAGAUCCUUUCCAAAUGCGUCCACUGAGUCUCCGUUCAGUUGUUCGAAAGAGAAACUGGCGUUGUUUUCAACCUUUUGUUGUUUCUCAUGGUUAAAUCUCGGAGUUACUUUCUGUUGUGCAGGUGUUGGUGUUGGUCCGGUUUUGGCUGCUGAGGCGUAGCUUCGUCCCUUUUCUACUCUGUUUCGAGUAGGUGCAGGUGUUGCGAUUGUCUUGGCUGCUCUCUUUUGCGUGAGAUUUUGCCUUUCUGUGACUUUCUUUAGGUAUUCCAUACGUACGGGGCAAAUCUUUGCAUUGGCCGUAUGGUUACCUGCGCAGUUGACGCAUUGGGUUUUUUGAGCCGGGUCCACCUGGCUGUCGUUGGCUUCCCUUCUCUUGAGGUUGCAUUGUCCUGGGGCAUGUGUUUUUGUGCACUUGACACAGCGGUAUGCCAUUUUGCAGUUGCUUGCAACAUGGCAGAACCGUUGGCAAUUGUGGCAUUGCUUGAUUGCGUUUGGGUGCGGCUUGAAGCCCUCUACAUUGAUUCGGCAGUUUAAGAGUGUGGUCACUUUGAAGAUGGCGUUUAAUUUGUCGGAUUUUUCUAUCUGAAUCAUCCACAGUUUGUCCUUGUAGGCCUUGACUGACAUUAUAUUUAGUUCAGGUACGGCCUCGACUAGGGCUUCUUUUACCUCCUCUGCAGUGUAUAUUUCGAGAGGCAGUUUUCUUAAAAUGACCGUAUGCGGCUUUAUUUGUUUAGGUGUGUAACUGUAGUAUAGCACCUUGUUCUUGUUAAAUUUCUCCUUGGUUAGGUUGAAUUCUGUCAGGGAGAAGAGCUUAACAUGGAUGACAUUUUUGUUCACUAUAUUUAGUGUGAACUUUUUUGAUGUGUCCUUCAUUAGUUUUGUCAGUGCCUUUGGGUUUUGCUCGUAUGUUACAAUGACCGGUAUACCUUUUUCAUUUAAAGGUUCUGCUACCUGCUGUUUACUGGGCGUUGGUUUUUUGAUACUCGCUUGUCCUGGG
rnacentral:lncRNA from 1 species